rnacentral:rRNA from 1 species
GACGAACGCUGGCGGCGUGCCUAAUACAUGCAAGUCGAACGAAGCUUUUUUAACUGGUGCUUGCACCGACUUAAACAACUGAGUGGCGAACGGGUGAGUAACACGUGGGUAACCUGCCCCAAAGCGGGGGAUAACAUUUGGAAACAGAUGCUAAUACCGCAUAACCACAGAAACCACAUGGUUUCUGUGUCAAAGAUGGUUUCGGCUAUCACUUUGGGAUGGACCCGCGGCGUAUUAGCUAGUUGGUAAGGUAAUGGCUUACCAAGGAAAUGUACCGUAGCCGAGCGGAGAGGUUGAUCGGCAACAUUGGGACUGAGACACGGCCCCAACUCCUACGGGAGGCAGCAGUAGGGAACCUUCCACAGUGGACGAAAGUCUGAUGGGGCAACGCCGCGUGAGUGAAGAAGGUUUUCGGAUCGUAAAACGCUGUUGUCAGAGAAGAACGUGUGCGAGAGUAACUGUUCGUGCAGUGACGGUAUCUGGCCAGAAAGCCACGGCUAACUACGUGCCAGCCGCCGCCGUAA